AUAAUGAUGGGAUACUUUUUGUA
rnacentral:piRNA from 1 species